rnacentral:rRNA from 1 species
GGAAACUGCCUGAUGGAGGGGGAUAACUACUGGAAACGGUAGCUAAUACCGCAUAACGUCGCAAGACCAAAGAGGGGGACCUUCGGGCCUCUUGCCAUCAGAUGUGCCCAGAUGGGAUUAGCUAGUAGGUGGGGUAAUGGCUCACCUAGGCGACGAUCCCUAGCUGGUCUGAGAGGAUGACCAGCCACACCGGAACUGAGACACGGUCCA